AGCUUUGUGCAAUGGCAGUAUCAUAGCCAAUGAGGUUAAUCUUAGGUACAAUUAUUGAUCGUUGAAAAAAAAAGUGACUGCCCAGUGUUUCAAUGGAAGAAAUAGACAUGUUAUCAAAACA
rnacentral:snRNA from 1 species